UAUAAGACGACAAUUUAUACUGCUUCCAACAAAUGGGCGAAGCACUUGCGUAAAGAUUUGGGUUUGCGAACAACAUCCUCGACAAUAAACAAGAACAAUAACAGGGAAACACCCAUCAGGGAUAUCACAAAUCUUUUUGUGAAAUCGACAGGAAUUCUUGCAGAGGAGCUGAGGUCUUUGAGCAGGACGCUGUCAGGUAAUUCUGAAAUGUCUUUCAACAAGUGUGUUUGGAUUGAGGGGCCUCGAUAGUUUUGCAAAAUCUGGGAUCAAUUUUGAUCUAGGCCUGCUCAGAGAGAAUAACAUGUUCAAUAUUUUCAUGCUGUAGACAUAAAGUGGAGAGACUCUGUUAUACGUCUGUGUGUCUGUUAAAAUACUUCUGUGCGAUUCACAGAGGAAAAUGGUUGCUCAGGUGCGGCUUUUUAAUAACUCAAGUGGAUUAUUGGAAAUCAGUUUCGACUAUGUGCCAAAUUAGUAUUACAUUUGUAAAUGUAUUGAGCUAAAAAAACUAUUUAACUAAACGUCACUUUUGAUUGGAGAAUUUAGUGUCUUGAUCAAUAUGAGCAGAGUUUGAAACAUUGUCGAGAUGUGUCUAUUUUUUUAAUGUUGAAGCUCAGUUUAUUAAGUAAAGGGUAAUAUUUACAGUAUUACAGUAAGUAAUGGUUUACUUACAGUAUCAACUUUCUUUGUUGGCUGAUUCCCCUGAAAAGAGUAAACAGUCUGUGGUGCCAUCCAAACAUUGCUCUGUUUGAAACCUAUAGGCUCACUGGAAAUGCAUGCCUCUACCAACAUUUCAGAAAAACUCCAAAACAUACAUAUCUACUGCAGCUUCCAGCUGAAAUUAACAUUAGGGGCUUUAAAAUGAAAUACCAACAACAUUUAUUAGAUUGCUUGUAAAUGAAUACAUUUUGAAGAAAGCAUUUAUGAUAUAGUAAACGUGCUCAGCAGCUCACCUGGUACAGCGCUUGGUAUGCAUCCUGUGAAACACAAAUCAUGAUAAAAGAGCGCAAAGACUUGCAGAAACAAGCUAAAAUGGCAUGGUUGCUUCAGCAAAUGCUUCUUUAUCUCACGAUUGCAUUGGUUAGCACUCUUGGUUAGGGUUUAGAGUAGGUGCUGCUAAGUAAUUUUCAAAUGUGAGCAUUUAACUUAUAGUCCAUUCACUUAUUUUUCUAAAAUUUUACAAAUACAUCCAACAACCAACGUUAUGAAAUCAUGCAGGAUUCACGUUCAACUGAUUUGCAAAUGAAAGCACUUUUAAUGUGACUUGAUAAACACUUGACUUUAGAAUUCCAGAAGUGACUUUAGAAGUGUCGGAAAACGUGCAAGGAGAACACAUUUUAUGAAGAGCUUAUUUGCAAAAACAGAUAUAAAAUAUGAUUCAUAAAUCAUGUUUUUUAUUGUGUUUUGUGUUAGCCGUUUUUUUUUUGUUAUUAUUAUUUCAUCAAAACAACCCAACUGCAGUUUGAUUGAUAUUAUUUGGAAGGCAGGAUAAAGAAAACAUGAUUACAUUAAAUCAUUAAAAACAUUAAAAAACAACACAAAAGUUACAAAUUUUUGCACAUUAACUCAUAUCAUUUUGCAGAAAUAUCGCCUCAGGUCUCUAAUGAGCCUAGGUUAUAUAUUUGCUUGUUCAUCCCAAUCUGCCCAACACAGCAGCAUUGGCUCAACCAAUGGUGUGACAGUGGGGCGGGGCUAACUGUUUAACCGACCAAUAUCAAGAGGGGGAGUCAACUUCAACUAAGGAAAAAUCUCCAUUUGGUCUCCAUUUGCUCUCAUUAAUCUUACAAUCGAAAAUCUUA
ensembl:lncRNA